UGGAGGGAAAAAGAGAGGGCUUGUGUCGGAUAAAAAUUGUGGGAAAGGGGAGAUGGUUUGUUAAAUAAGAAUGGUAGAAAGUGUAAGUAGAGGGAGCUGACGACAGGAGGUGAAAUGGAAGUGAAUAAGUGUGAAGUAUCCUAUGUGGUAGGUUCGGUGAAGUUAUUAUAUACCGAGGUAUGCACCGAGGAUCAGGAUAAAGAAGAGUGACAGUAGGAGUGAAUUUUAUGGAAAAAAUCGUACUCUUCCCUUUUUGCUGAUCCAUUUGUGGUUUCACGGUGGGUGAAAAAAAGAGUUGCGUGAUGGUAACUAGAAGUGGUCUAGUGAUAACUGUUUGUGUUUUUGUGAGGCAGAGGGAGAAUACGCUUGGAGUAAAACUAACGAGGGCAAGAAAAGUUAAUUGUUUCGUUCUCAAGAAAAGAGCACAAAUGAAAGGAGCGAUAACAGGGGUAGUGUUAACAGUACAACUUUACGUCCGUCCCCUCGCCCAUACCCGGGCGCGAACCAGGGACCUUCUGCACACAACGACAACAGUCACCCUCGAAGCAUCGCUCCACAAAAGCCGCGGCUCUUGCAGAGCAAGGGGAACUACUACUUCAAGGUCUCAGAGCAAGUGACGUAACCGAUUGAAACGCUAUUUAGCGCACACCGCUAACUAAGCUCGCCGUUUCACAUCCGUUACAGUAGCAGUAAAUAUAAAAGUUGACAAGCUGAGGGGAAAGAUUCCCGGUGUAUGUGAUGAUCGUCGUUUGAUGCGACGCAAACAGGGUGGGGAAACGGAAGUCGUUGUCUGUUUUUUUGAAGUUGAGUCUUUGCCCGAUAAAGUUUGGAUAUAUAAGUAAUCCUGUACGAGCGACGUGCCGAAUACAUUACGACGUUACAGGUGUCAAGCUUAUGGUCUAGUAGGUGGCGGUAAUGAAACAAAUUGGAUGUCAACCGCUGUUAAACCUCAGAAGAAGUUAACAACAAUAUGUCUGGACCAAAUGGAGAUCCUAACAUCUCAACUGAUGAUGGCAUCACCGACAAUGAAGAUGAAUUCAGAGUAUGUAGCCAUCAACACUGCUGGAUCAGAUCAACUCCUGCCUGGAUGACCUGGAGGAACGCAACGACUCACUGAAUGACCAACUACAUGAACUGUUGGAAUCUAACUGGCAGGAGUUCAGCUGAGCACCGCUACACCCCCAGGAGAGGAUCAACAGUCCCCGGACAAGGAUUCUCCAGCCUCUGAAGGGGAGAAGGGCGACGAGGAAAAAGCUGGUCUACUCAAUGUUACGCAAAACAACAUUCCACCUACCAAUAUGAGCAUCUUUCCUUUUCUCAAGUGUUCAUGUGGUAACACUUAAGAGUGAUAGGAUUUUCUCUGUCCCUUUCAUGUAGCACUUAUGAACCCUCCACUAAACUAUAUAGUUUUAAUCGAUACACAGCUGUUGAACUUUUAAGAUGGUUCCUGCUUAGUUAAGUAAAAUAGCCAAAAGCUGAGUACAUUCUGUGUUGAAGUGACUAGUUUAUGCCACCAUCACCACUUACUAUGUAUACCAAUGUUUCAGCUUAGCUAUCCGUAUAAGUCCUCAAUUGCCCCCAUGAUUAGUACUUAUUUAUCCAUGUGCUUGGUGUGGGGUGUAAAGCAUGCAGAAUACACUGUGAUUCAUGUCAUAACUGGGGUGUAUUCAUUUUGCCGAAUUGGUUUGUUCCAAAACGUUUUGCAACAAAAACAAGUUUCUAUUGCACAAAUUCAGGUAGGUCCCUUCCUGUUUCAUUUGCUAUGUUUGGCUCUAAGAUGGUAAACAGUUUCUGUUGUAAGAUGUAAUGAACACACUGGUGGUAGGUAAGCAGCUAAGUUAACCUCUAUGGGCUAAUACUACAAAUCAUGUGAGCUUUGAUUGGUCAAUAUUGUUCUGUGACAUGCAACAGAUGAAUGUGUUUCAGUUUUUCCUUGUCAGAUUUAAAAACAGUAUAUUGAAUGUGUUACUGUUAAUUAUCUGAGUGUGACAUCUUGAAUCACUAACGUCAAGAACUAGCUCUUUAAAACAAUGCGAUAUUCAAUAAUCACAGUGAGGCAAUUGUCAAAUUUUAUUAUAAAUUAAAAUGACCCCAAUACAGAAAACAUCCCAAAAAUACAUGAAACUUCCAGCUGCUAGAAAACACUCUUGUUCAUCGGUUUGUCAUUUGUAGAAUAAAAAUACAUUAAGAAACAUA